CAUCACAUUGGUCACAUCUAAACUCUGGGAAGAAACAAAGAACCAACUAGUCUUCUGUUUUCAAAGGCACAAAUGCCCGGUGUUUUGGUCAGACAGUAGGUAUUCCCUGUGCUACCACUGUGUGGUGCUGCUUCCUUUAAAUUACAUUUGCUUCAUGUUGUCAUGGCCUCUAAAUUUGUUCUGGUCUACCAAGACAUCAUCUGAAUGCUUCGAUAAUCAUGAAGGCUGGGAACUGAGAAACACCUGCAGAGCCAGGGUCGGUUGUGUCUUCAUCAUUCGCAGCAGCUCAGGUGGACAGCCCUAGAGACCCUGCUACUGCACAGCUCAGGAGGGCCUCGUGAAGAAGAUGCCCGAGAAGACAGAAGAAAUGGGCUGAAAUGAGUUAACUCUUAAUUGGGAAGUUUAUGAGGAAAAGAAAAUACAGCUGCCAACUGCU